AACGGCCGUACCAUGCUGAAUAUACCGGUUCUCGUCAGAUCACCGAAGUUAAGCAUCAUUGGGCGCGGUCAGUACUUGGGUGGGUGACCACCUGGGAACACUGCGUGCCGUU
rnacentral:rRNA from 1 species